rnacentral:tRNA from 1 species
GUCCGCGUAGCACAAUUGGAUAGUGCGCCGGCCUCCGGAGCCGGAGGUUGCAGGUUCGAAUCCUGCCGCGGACG